GUCCGCACAGUAAACGAUGAAUGCUGGUUCUUGGCGAUAUACAGUCAGGAACUGAGGGAAACCAUUAAGCAUUCCACCUGGGGAGUACGCCGGCAACGGUGAAACUCAAAGGAAUUGACGGGGGCCCGCACAAGCGGAGGAACAUGUGGUUUAAUUCGAUGAUACGCGAGGAACCUUACCCGGGCUUGAAUUGCAGCUGCAUGGUCCAGAGAUGGACCUUCCUUCGGGGCUGCUGUGAAGGUGCUGCAUGGUUGUCGU
rnacentral:rRNA from 1 species